AACGCACAUUGCGCCCAUUAGUAUUCUAGUGGGCAUGCCUGUUCGAGCGUCAUUUCAACCCUUAAGCCUAGCUUAGUGUUGGGAAUCUACUGAGCGGUGCUACCCUGUAGCUACCCUGUAGUUCCUAAAAUUCAGCGGCAGAGUUAUUGUAUCCUCUGAGCGUAGUAAUUAUUCUCGCUUUUGUUGGUGCUAUCUCUCUUGCCGUUAAACCCCCAAUUUUCAAUGGUUGACCUCGGAUCAGGUAGGAAUACCCGCUGAACUUAA
rnacentral:misc_RNA from 1 species